CAGGGGUUGGUAAGGUCGGGCCAUGGUGGGGCAGAGGUUGGGAAGAUGGCGUGGCGAGGCUGGGUACAGAGAGGCUGGGGCUGUGGUCAGGCGUGGGCCCCGCCGGCGGGCGGCCGCAGCUGCGAGGAGCUCACUGCGGCCCUGGCCUCGCCGCGGCUACUAGGACGCAGAUUUAAUUUUCUUAUUCAGCAAAAAUGUGGAUUCAGAAAAGCACCCAGGAAGGUUGAACCUCGAAGAUCAGAUGCAGGAACAAGCAGGGAAGCAUAUAAGAGAAGUGCUUUGAUUCCUCCUGUAGAAGAGACAGUCUUUUAUCCUUCUCCCUAUCCCAUGAGGACUCUUGUAAAGCCUUUUUUUUUUACUGUUGGGUUUACAGGCUGUGCGUUUGGGUCAGCUGCUAUUUGGCAGUAUGAAUCAUUGAAAUCCAGGGUCCAGAGUUAUUUUGAUGGUAUAAAAGCUGAUUGGUUGGAUAGCAUAAGACCACAAAAGGAAGGAGACUUCAGAAAGGAGAUUAACAAGUGGUGGAAUAACCUAAGUGAUGGCCAGCGGACUGUGACAGGUAUCAUAGCUGCAAAUGUUUUUGUAUUCUGUUUGUGGAGAGUACCUUCUCUACAGCGGACAAUGAUCAAAUAUUUCACAUCCAAUCCAGCCUCAAAGGUCCUUUGUUCGCCAAUGUUGCUGUCAACAUUCAGUCAUUUCUCCUUGUUUCACAUGGCAGCAAAUAUGUAUGUUUUGUGGAGCUUCUCCUCCAGCAUAGUGAACAUUCUGGGUCAGGAGCAGUUCAUGGCAGUGUACUUAUCUGCAGGCGUUAUUUCCAAUUUUGUCAGUUACGUGUGUAAAGUUGCUACAGGAAGAUACGGACCAUCACUUGGUGCAUCCGGUGCAAUCAUGACCAUCCUUGCUGCUGUCUGCACAAAGAUCCCAGAGGGGAGGCUCGCCAUUAUCUUCCUUCCAAUGUUCACGUUCACAGCAGGGAAUGCCCUAAAAGCCAUUAUUGCCAUGGAUACAGCAGGAAUGAUCCUGGGAUGGAAAUUUUUUGAUCAUGCAGCACAUCUUGGGGGAGCUCUCUUUGGAAUCCUCCCACCCUGCCCCACUCGCCCCUGUCAGCGCUGGGCAGACACUGGGUGGAGCUGUCGCUCUGCCUGUGGUGAUGUCCGCAGUGUGCUGCGUGGCUGGGGUAGGCCAGGGAUCAGAAGCCAGUGGUGACUCUUCUCUGAGCGUCUGUUAGUGGUAAAGCACUGAGCUGGUUACUUUACACUAGACUGUUACCACCUCCGUUUCCCAGAUGGGACACUGAGGCUCGGAAGCAAUCCUCCCCAGACAGUGGACUUUCUGCCUCAGACAUAGUAAUGCUGGAGCAGCUCUGUCCUGGGACUUCCCAGCGUGCUCGGAGUCCAUCUGGCCCUGAGGAAGCCCCUUCAGCACAGUUGUCUGGUGCGCUGGGUAGCCAGAUGGCCUGUCUUUUCUGGCAUAAUAAAUGUUGCCUUUCGCUCUCA